rnacentral:rRNA from 1 species
GAUGAACGCUGGCGGCGUGCCUAAUACAUGCAAGUCGAGCGAACAGACGAGAGUGCUUGCACUCUCUGACGUUAGCGGUGGACGGGUGAGUAACACGUGGGUAACCUACCUAUAAGACUGGGAUAACUUCGGGAAACCGGAGCUAAUACCGGAUAAUAUUUAGCUUCGCAUGAAGCAAUAGUGAAAGACGGUUCUGCUGUCACUUAUAGAUGGACCCGCGGUGUAUUAGCUAGUUGGUGAGGUAACGGCUCACCAAGGCAACGAUACAUAGCCGACCUGAGAGGGUGAUCGGCCACACUGGGACUGAGACACGGCCCAGACUCCUACGGGAGGCAGCAGUAGGGAAUCUUCCGCAAUGGACGAAAGUCUGACGGAGCAAUGCCGCGUGAGUGAAGAAGGUUUUCGGAUCGUAAAACUCUGUUGUAAGGGAAGAACAAGUACGUUAGUAACUGAACGUACCUUGACAGUACCUUACCAGAAAGCCACGGCUAACUACGUG